rnacentral:tRNA from 3 species
ACAGAUCCAGUGGAGACAGGGUGGGGCCUGUAGCUCAGAGGAUUAGAGCACGUGGCUACGAACCACGGUGUCGG